GCCGGUGUAGUGUAAUGGUAACACGCGUGCUUUGGGAGCACGAAUCGCCGUUCGAAUCGGACACCGGCU
rnacentral:tRNA from 1 species